rnacentral:siRNA from 1 species
UUGAGUUGAGUUGGGUUUACCUA